rnacentral:rRNA from 1 species
UACGGAAGGCAGCAGUGGGGAAUAUUGCACAAUGGGCGCAAGCCUGAUGCAGCCAUGCCGCGUGUAUGAAGAAGGCCUUCGGGUUGUAAAGUACUUUCAGUCGUGAGGAAGGUGUUAAGGUUAAUAACCUUAGCAAUUGACGUUAGCGACAGAAGAAGCACCGGCUAACUCCGUGCCAGCAGCCGCGGUAAUACGGAGGGUGCGAGCGUUAAUCGGAAUUACUGGGCGUAAAGGGCACGCAGGCGGUUAAUUAAGUUGGAUGUGAAAUCCCCGGGCUUAACCUGGGAAUGGCAUUCAAGACUGGUUAGCUAGAGUCUUGUAGAGGGGGUAGAAUUCCGAUGUGUAGCGGUGAAAUGCGUAGAGAUGUGGAGGAAUACCGGUGGCGAAGGCGGCCCCUGGGACAAAGACUGACGCUCAUGUGCGAAAGCGUGGGGAGCAAACGAGGGAUUAGAU